rnacentral:rRNA from 1 species
UACGGAGGGUGCAAGCGUUAUCCGGAUUCACUGGGUUUAAAGGGUGCGUAGGAGGGCAGGUAAGUCAGUGGUGAAAUCUCCGAGCUUAACUUGGAAACUGCCGUUGAUACUAUCUGUCUUGAAUAUUGUGGAGGUGAGCGGAAUAUGUCAUGUAGCGGUGAAAUGCUUAGAUAUGACAUAGAACACCAAUUGCGAAGGCAGCUCGCUACACAUAUAUUGACUCUGAGGCACGAAAGCGUAGGGAUCAAACAGG